rnacentral:rRNA from 1 species
AGAGUUUGAUCAUGGCUCAGGAUGAACGCUGGCGGCGUGCCUAAUACAUGCAAGUCGAGCGAACCACUUCGGUGGGAAGCGGCGAACGGGUGAGUAACACGUAGGUGAUCUGCCCAUCAGACGGGGACAACGAUUGGAAACGAUCGCUAAUACCGGAUAGGACGAAAGUUUAAAGAUGCUCCUGGCAUCACUGAUGGAUGAGCCUGCGGCGCAUUAGCUAGUUGGUGGGGUAAAGGCCUACCAAGGCGACGAUGCGUAGCCGACCUGAGAGGGUGAACGGCCACACUGGGACUGAGACACGGCCCAGACUCCUACGGGAGGCAGCAGUAGGGAAUCUUCGGCAAUGGGCGAAAGCCUGACCGAGCAACGCCGCGUGAAUGAAGAAGGCCUUCGGGUUGUAAAAUUCUGUUAUAAGGGAAGAAAGGUGAUAGGAGGAAAUGACUAUCAAUUGACGGUACCUUAUGAGAAAGCCACGGCUAACUACGUGCCAGCAGCCGCGGUAAUACGUAGGUGGCAAGCGUUAUCCGGAAUUAUUGGGCGUAAAGAGCGCGCAGGUGGUUAAUUAAGUCUGAUGUGAAAGCCCACGGCUUAACCGUGGAGGGUCAUUGGAAACUGGUUGACUUGA